rnacentral:misc_RNA from 1 species
AAAGUCGUAACAAGGUUUCCGUAGGUGAACCUGCGGAAGGAUCAUUACAACGUAUCCACGUACCAAACUCGCGAACUGUUCCCAAUGGAGCAAACAUUGUGGAUGAAGUCAUGGUUGACUGCCUUUCGCUGAUGGAGUUCUCGGAUUUUUAUCUGAGAACUGAAGGGCUUUCAAUCGCCGGCGAGCGUCUCGUGCGCUCGCUGGGCUUCGUUUGCUUCAUUGCGGUUUUUACCAUCAGCUGUUUUACUUAUUAUUAACCCUUUUACAUCCUGAACUGAACUUGAAAGCACUGUCGCUGUCCUUGCUGGCUUCGGUCACGGACGUUGCCGACUUUGCAUUUCACAUUUACGAAACAAAGAACAACUCUUAGCAACGGAUAUCUUGGUUCUC